GAUUAACGCUGGCGGCGUGCAUAACACAUGCAAGUCGAACGAUGAAACUUAAAUGAUUUCUUCGGAAUGACCUUAAGUGGAUUAGUGGCGGACGGGUGCGUAACGCGUGAGUAACCUGCCUUACACAAGGGGAUAGCCGUUGGAAACGACGAAUAAUACCCUAUGAAACUAUCACUUCGCAUGAAGCGAUAGUCAAAGUGUUAGCGGUGUAAGAUGGACUUGCGUCUGAUUAGCUAGUUGGUGAGAAAAAAGCCCACCAAGGCAACGAUCAGUAGCCGGCUUGAGAGAGUGUACGGCCACAUUGGGACUGAGACACGGCCCAGACUCCUACGGGAGGCAGCAGUGGGGAAUUUUGCACAAUGGGGGAAACCCUGAUGCAGCGACGCCGCGUGAUUUAGAAGGCCUUCGGGUUGUAAAAAUCUUUUGUAUAGGAAGAAAAUGACAGUACUAUACGAAUAAGGUCCGGCUAAUUACGUG
rnacentral:rRNA from 1 species